GAGGGGCACCAGAGGAGCAGACUACAAGAAUGGCACACGCUAUGGAAAACUCCUGGACAAUCAGUAAAGAGUACCAUAUUGAUGAAGAAGUGGGCUUUGCUCUGCCAAAUCCACAGGUAAGAGAAGGCAGUAAAAUGUGGGAAAAUGCAUUCUUCUUCUCAUUCCUUACCUGGCCAAGUUAACUUCUACUGAACAACUGUGGUUCAGUAACUUCUAGUAAACAAACACAUAAAGCUGUGUAAAAAUUAGAGAGCUGUAAUAACUGCAUCUCACUUAAUUUGUCUUACAUUUUCUCCCUAGAAAUGGAGUCAUCUAUGCAUUUCUUACUUACCUAACAUGGAUACGGAGAGUGAUCUACAAAAAUGCUGGGACUGGAUGAUUUCAAGGAUGUACUUAUCAAUGGUACAAUAAAACCAUCUUUUUCAGAAACUACUAAA
rnacentral:lncRNA from 1 species